rnacentral:rRNA from 1 species
AUUGAACGCUGGCGGCAUGCCUUACACAUGCAAGUCGAACGGCAGCGGGGACUUCGGUCCGCCGGCGAGUGGCGAACGGGUGAGUAAUGUAUCGGAACGUACCAUUCAGUGGGGGAUAACUAUCCGAGAGGAUAGCUAAUACCGCAUAUUCUGUGAGCAGGAAAGCGGGGGAUCGCCAGACCUUGCGCUGAUUGAGCGGCCGAUAUCAGAUUAGCUAGUUGGUGAGGUAACGGCUCACCAAGGCUACGAUCUGUAGCGGGUCUGAGAGGAUGGUCCGCCACACUGGGACUGAGACACGGCCCAGACUCCUACGGGAGGCAGCAGUGGGGAAUUUUGGACAAUGGGCGCAAGCCUGAUCCAGCCAUGCCGCGUGAGUGAAGAAGGCCUUCGGGUUGUAAAGCUCUUUCGGCCGGGAAGAAAUCGCAUCAGCUAAUACCUGGUGUGGAUGACGGUACCGGAAUAAGAAGCACCGGCUAACUACGUGCCAGCAGCCGCGGUAACAC